rnacentral:rRNA from 1 species
UACGGAAGGCAGCAGUGGGGAAUAUUGCACAAUGGGCGAAAGCCUGAUGCAGCUAUGCCGCGUGUAUGAAGAAGGCCUUAGGGUUGUAAAGUACUUUCAUCGGGGAGGAAAAACAAAACUAAUAAUUUUAUUUCUUGACGUUACCCGAAAAAGAAGCACCGGCUAACUCCGUGCCAGCAGCCGCGGUAAUACGGAGGGUGCUAGCGUUAAUCAGAAUUACUGGGCGUAAAGAGCACGUAGGUGGUUUUUUUAAGUCAGAUGUGAAAUCCCUGGGCUUAACCUAGGAACUGCAUUUUGAAAACUGAAAUACUAGAGUAUCGUAGAGGGAGGUAGAAUUCUAGGUGUAGCGGUGAAAUGCGUAGAUAUCUGGAGGAAUACCUGUGGCGAAAGACGGCCUCCUAAACGAAUACUGACACUGAGGUGCGAAAGACGUGGGGAGGCAAACAGGGAUUAGAUACC